CCUACGGGAGGCAGCAGUGGGGGAUAUUGCACAAUGGGGGGAACCCUGAUGCAGCGACGCCGCGUGGGUGAAGAAGCGCCUCGGCGCGUAAAGCCCUGUCAGCAGGGAAGAAAAUGACGGUACCUGAAGAAGAAGCCCCGGCUAACUACGUGCCAGCAGCCGCGGUAAUACGUAGGGGGCAAGCGUUAUCCGGAUUUACUGGGUGUAAAGGGGGCGCAGACGGCGAUGCAAGCCAGGAGUGAAAGCCCGGGGCCCAACCCCGGGACUGCUCUUGGAACUGCGUGGCUGGAGUGCAGGAGGGGCAGGCGGAAUUCCUGGUGUAGCGGUGGAAUGCGUAGAUAUCAGGAGGAACACCGGUGGCGAAGGCGGCCUGCUGGACUGCAACUGACGUUGAGGCCCGAAAGCGUGGGGAGCAAACAGGAUUAGAUACCCGAGUAGUC
rnacentral:rRNA from 1 species